rnacentral:rRNA from 1 species
AUUGAACGCUGGCGGCAGGCCUAACACAUGCAAGUCGAGCGGAUGAAGGGAGCUUGCUCCUGGCUUCAGCGGCGGACGGGUGAGUAAUGCCUAGGAAUCUGCCUGGUAGUGGGGGAUAACGUCCGGAAACGGGCGCUAAUACCGCAUACGUCCUGAGGGAGAAAGUGGGGGAUCUUCGGACCUCACGCUAUUAGAUGAGCCUAGGUCGGAUUAGCUAGUUGGUGGGGUAAAGGCCUACCAAGGCGACGAUCCGUAACUGGUCUGAGAGGAUGAUCAGUCACACUGGAACUGAGACACGGUCCAGACUCCUACGGGAGGCAGCAGUGGGGAAUAUUGGGCAAUGGGCGAAAGCCUGAUCCAGCCAUGCCGCGUGUGUGAAGAAGGUCUUCGGAUUGUAAAGCACUUUAAGUUGGGAGGAAGGGCAGUAAGUUAAUACCUGGCUGUUUUGACGUUACCAACAGAAUAAGCACCGGCUAACUUCGUG